rnacentral:lncRNA from 1 species
GAGUAUUUGGAUAAAUGAUGAGGGAACAUGGCUCCAGGGGUUCUCAAGAUCUGUCCUGCUGCCCUUUAGCACUCAGCUGUGGCCUUGGACGGGUCCCCACCUUCAUCCCAGAUUGGUUGGAAAGAACCCAACGGGACAUGGGCACACCCUCCCUUCCUGGGCCUCUUCCCCAGGUGGCCCCGGUGAGAGAUCAGGAAGCUCCCAGACAUAGGAUGUCUAACUCACUCAGGCGAUCACGUGACAGAGAGAAGAGGGGCUUGAGCAGAGAGAAUGCUUAGAGGCUAAGCGAUGAUGGGCAGCCCGACCUGGAUGGGAUUCGCUCCUGGGUACAAAACGGGACACUGAUCAGAAUCAACUUGGACAAGUGACAAGAGUGAGUCUGAUGUCGGUGGAUGUCUUUUAAGGUCGUUGGAGGGAAGAGGAAGGACGGGAGGGGUGUGCUGAGGGGUAGGUGGAGAGAGGCACCGAGUCCAGAGCCGGGAUAUAAAGGCACCAGGAGUCGGGGAGCGGAGGAGCAAAUGAGUGGGGGAAAGAGGGAGAGGAAGAGUUGGAGAAAAGUCUAGGGAAAGUAGGGACAGGGUUAAGGGGAGACGGGAGGAUGAGGGCGGCGAGGAGAGAUUAAAAGGGGAAGGGGAGUCACUGGAGAGGAGGGCGGACUGUUGGAUCGGAGGUAGGGAGACGGGCGAGGGGCGAGGGGCGUGCUCGGGGUGGGGGGCGCCGGGGCGAGGAGAAGGAGCUGGGGAAGAGGAGCGGGGCUAGAAAGCGAGA